rnacentral:rRNA from 1 species
AGUGGCGCACGGGUGAGUAACACGUGACUAACCUACCCUGGAGUGGGGGAUAACUGAGGGAAACCUUAGCUAAUACCGCAUAAUACCCACGGGUCAAAGGAGCAAUUCGCUCCAGGAGGGGGUCGCGGCCGAUUAGUUAGUUGGCGGGGUAAUGGCCCACCAAGACGAUGAUCGGUAUCCGGCCUGAGAGGGCGCACGGACACACUGGAACUGAAACACGGUCCAGACUCCUACGGGAGGCAGCAGUGGGGAAUUUUGCGCAAUGGGGGAAACCCUGACGCAGCAACGCCGCGUGGGGGAUGAAGCUUUUCGGAGUGUAAACCCCUUUCGACUGGGACGAAUGCCCGCAAGGGAGUGACGGUACCAGUAGAAGAAGCCCCGGCUAACUACGUGCCAGCAGCCGCGGUAAGACGUAGGGGGCCAGCGUUGUUCGGAAUUACUGGGUGUAAAGGGUUCGUAGGCGGUGUGGCAAGUCGGGAGUGAAAUCUUUGGGCUUAACCCAGAGGCUGCUUCCGAAACUGCUGUGCUCGAGUGUGGGAGAGGCGCGUGGAAUUGCAGGUGUAGCGGUGAAAUGCGUAGAUAUCUGCAGGAACACCCGUGGCGAAAGCGGCGCGCUGGACCACUACUGACGCUGAGGAACGAAAGCUAGGGGAGCAAACAGGAUUAGAUACCCUGGUAUUCCUAGCCCUAAACGAUCAGGACUUGGGGUGCCACCCGUUCGGGUGUCGUCCCGGAGCUAACGCGUUAAGUCCUGCACCUGGGGAGUACGGUCGCAAGACUGAAACUCAAAGGAAUUGACGGGGGCCCGCACAAGCGGUGGAACAUGUGGUUCAAUUCGA